GAUGAACGCUGGCGGCGUGCCUCAAACAUGCAAGUCGAGCGGGGCUAUGUAAUAUCGCAAGGUAGAACAUAGCCUAGCGGCGAACGGGUGAGUAACACGUGGGUAACCUGCCUGGAAGACAGGGAUAACGAUUCGAAAGGGUCGCUAAUACCUGAUAAUAUCCUUUCAUCGCAUGGUGAUAGGAAGAAAGGGGAAACCCGCUUUCAGAUGGGCCCGCGUCCCAUCAGCUAGUUGGUAAGGUAAAGGCUUACCAAGGCGACGACGGGUAGCCGGUCUGAGAGGAUGUACGGCCACACUGGGACUGAGAUACGGCCCAGACUCCUACGGGAGGCAGCAGUUGGGAAUCUUAGGCAAUGGACGAAAGUCUGACCUAGCGACGCCGCGUGAGGGAAGAAGGCCUCGGUUGUAACUACUGUCAUGGGAAGGAAGUAAGUAGACGGUACCCGAACGAGGAAGACCCUCGCUAACUACGUAGCCAGCAGCGCGGUAAGAGUAGUACA
rnacentral:rRNA from 1 species